GAUGAAGAACGCAGCGAAAUGCGAUAAGUAAUGUGAAUUGCAGAAUUCAGUGAAUCAUCAAAUCUUUGAACGCACAUUGCGCCCGCCAGUAUUCUGGCGGGCAUGCCUGUUCGAGCGUCAUUUCAACCAUCAAGCCCUGCUUGCGUUGGGGUCCUGCGGCUGCCCGCAGGCCCUGAAAACCAGUGGCGGGCUCGCUAGUCACACCGAGCGCAGUAAUACAUCUCGCUUUGGGCGUGCGGCGGGUUCUUGCCGUUAAACACCCCCUUUUUACCAAGGUUGACCUCGGAUCAGGUAGGAAUACCCGCUGAACUUAAGCAUAUCAAUAAGCGGAGGA
rnacentral:misc_RNA from 1 species